rnacentral:misc_RNA from 1 species
UCUCCCGUGAGGGAGCAGUCUCGCCUGGCCAUAUAGGCAACAGACAACGGGGGUUGCGUUCGUUACCCCACUGAAGGGAACAGUUCAAACCACGAACUGACGACGACCAUGCAUCACCUGUCCAGCACCCUCGAAGGCUUCUCUCCUUUCAGAAAGAAUGCAGCUGGAUUUCUAACCUUGGUAAGGUUCUUCGUUUAUCAUCGAAUUGAGCCGCAUAAUCCACCGCUUGUGCGAGUCCCCGUCUAUUCCUUUGAGUUUUAAUCUUGCGAUCGUACUACCCAGGCGGCUCGCUUACCGCGUUAGCUUAGUCUCACAGAGGGUCGAUACUCCGUAAAACGAGCGAGCAACGUUGAGGGCCAGGACUAC